GAGGGUACAGCUCAGUGGUAGAGCACACGCUUAGCAUGCACGAGGUCCUGGGUUCGAUCCCCAGUACCUACA
rnacentral:tRNA from 1 species